ensembl:lncRNA
AUGUCCUUUAAUCCACUCACAUACAUGCUUGACCAAGAGCAACCAGAAGAACCAGACCUAGACUCUCUGUCAGGAAUGCUGAGGUUUGUUAACCAGACUCUGGCCCUUCAAGAGCAACAAUCCCUCUGUGACACCAGCACCCACAAAACAGAUCCUCAUUCAUGUCUCAGCUUCCCAGUUGGAUUACCGUCUCCCGUGUUCGUGUUCUGGAUUGUGUUCGUGUUGUCGUCUUCGUGUGAGUGUUCCGGUCUGUUCCUGGUUUCAUCCAUCGACCGCCUUCACAUUCACCACCGACUUCACCAUCAGCACUUCUCACGCCACCGUAGACCUUCUCUCACCAUUGCCUACAUACUGGACUCUAUUAUCAAUAAACUUCUUCUGAUUGCCUGCAAUUGCUUCCUCCUCUUUUACCAGCCGUCACAAAACAUGAGUAAGUAUUAGCGAUGGAUUGGAUCUGCUCUGUGGUAUU